CUCUGAAACAUCGAGGUCAUAUAUAUCGUUUUCUUGCAAAAACUGGGUCGGGAAGUUCGCAGGCAGAACGUACACAGAAACAAGCCUUUAGAAAAACAUGCCCAGAGGCUUGUUCAUCACCCUCUACUCACAGAUGCAAAAUUUCCUCAAUACCAUCCUGGUCGCAUCAACAACAGGAGAAACAACGAGAAGGCAAAAACAGAGCCGCAGGACAGUGCGAGAAGACUGAAAGCAGCUUGCUCCUCCUCCCUUAGCCUUCUCUGUUUCUUCACGACACCACCAUCGGAUGAUGAUGAUGAUGGGAUACGGCUUAAAAGAUCGGAUGGAGAAGAAAUAUAUGAGCAAAGAAGAUCAAAAUCCAGAAAUGUAAACCUUUGGUCCGGCUGGUCCACCUC